rnacentral:misc_RNA from 1 species
AACGCAUCUUGCGCUCUCUGGUAUUCCGGAGAGCAUGUCUGUUUGAGUGUCAUGAACUCUUCAACCCUUCAGUUUCUAGUGAAUUGUAAGGAGUUUGGAUUUUGAGCGUUGCUAAUCUGAUUAGCUCGUUCGUAAUGUAUUAGCAUCUCGAAAUCGAAAUUCGGAUUGACUCAGUGUAAUAGACUAUUCGCUGAGGACACUUUUUAAUUAAGGUGGCCGAACUAGAAAAAGUUGGAAGCUUCUAAUGCUGUUAGUCACAACAUUUUUCAAUUAGACCUCAGAUCAGGCAGGAUUACCCGCUGAACUUAA